UGAGUCAGAAGUAGCUGA
rnacentral:snRNA from 1 species